rnacentral:rRNA from 1 species
GACGAACGCUGGCGGCGUGCCUAACACAUGCAAGUCAACUUGACUGAAGGAGCAAUCUGACAGUAGAGUGGCGCAAGGGUGCGUAACGCGUAAGUAACUUGCCCAAGGUAAGGAAUAACGUCGAGAAAUCGGCGCUAAUACCUCAUAAUGCAGCGGAUCCGCAUGGAUAUGUUGUUAAAGGUUUACCGCCUUGGGAUAGGCUUGCGUCUGAUUAGUUAGUUGGUGUGGUAACGGCACACCAAGGCUACGAUCAGUAACUGGUCUGAGAGGAUGAUCAGUCACACUGGAACUGAGACACGGUCCAGACUCCUACGGGAGGCAGCAGUGAGGAAUAUUGGGCAAUGCUCGAAAGAGUGACCCAGCAACGCCGCGUGGAGGAUGAAGGUAUUCUAUAUCGUAAACUCCUGUGAGAGCAGACGAAAGACAGAUUAUUAAUCUGAUGACUGUAUGCUCAGAGG